AAAAUAGAUACCCCAGGUAGUCCACGCCGUAAACGAUGAGUGCUAAGUGGUUAGAGGGUUUCCGCCCUUUAGUGCUGCAGCUAACGCAUUAAGCACUCCGCCUGGGGAGUACGGUCGCAAGACUGAAACUCAAAGGAAUUGACGGGGGCCCGCACAAGCGGUGGAGCAUGUGGUUUAAUUCGAAGCAACGCGAAGAACCUUACCAGGUCUUGACAUCCUCUGACAACUCUAGAGAUAGAGGCGUUCCCCUUCGGGGGACAGAGUGACAGGUGGUGCAUGGUUGUCGUCAGCUCGUGUCGUGAGAUGUUGGGUUAAGUCCCGCAACGAGCGCAACCCUUGAUCUUAGUUGCCAGCAUUCAGUUGGGCACUCUAAGGUGACUGCCGGUGACAAACCGGAGGAAGGUGGGGAUGACGUCAAAUCAUCAUGCCCCUUAUGACCUGGGCUACACACGUGCUACAAUGGAUGGUACAAAGGGCUGCAAGACCGCGAGGUCAAGCCAAUCCAUAAAACCNUUCUCAGUUCGGAUUGU
rnacentral:rRNA from 1 species